ensembl:snRNA U6 U6 spliceosomal RNA
GAGCUCAUCUUGGCACAGCACCCACACUAAAACUGGAAUGAUACAGAGGAGGUUAGACUGGCCCCUGCUCAAUGAUGACAUAAAAAUUGUUGAAGCGUUCCAUAUUAAA